rnacentral:misc_RNA from 1 species
CCGAGUUAGGGUGUCCGCCUUCGGGCGCGCCCGACCUCCAACCCUUUGCUUACUUGACCCUUUUGUUGCUUCGGCAGGCCCGUCUUGCUCGUGCGAACGAGCCGGACCGCCGGGGGUGCUUCGUCGCCUCUGGCCCGCUGCCUGCCGACGGCCCAACUUACAAACUCUUGUUAACAUAACCUGUCGUCUGAUAACUUGUUAUUAAACCAAUAACUAA